GAGAGAUGAGUGGUGCUGGAAUGGGUAGUUCUUCGUGGAUCGCUGGGACUUUCAAUCUUUUGUCAUCAACGCCAUAUUCUGCCGAGUCUUCAAAAUCGCCAAAUAAAUCUCAAUGCAGUAGCAGCGCUAGAAGACGCCCGGCAUAUUGUAAAUUUUCGUUACCAGCGAAUGAUCUCAAAUUUGUUCUUCAUGACGCCCUUCAAUCUUCUGGCCUGGACACCACGCAUGCCCGAGCAGCAAGGAAUGGUUUCUGCCAGCAGAUUCAAAAAUUAACUGACGUGGAAAGAGAAACUAGCAUUAGUAUAAAUAGAGUGGUUGAUUUGGGGAAGACAGCUCUUCAUGUGGCAGCGGAGGAUGACUCCCUCAUAUCACAUUCUUCUGUUCCACUUCCGGUUGAUGAUUUUAUUGACAGAUUGGAUGACCUUUCUAUGGGCUACUGCUCGCACUAUGGCUCUUCCUUCAGAUACCCGCCUGAGAAAUUUCUUGAGUGUUUGGAUAGAUACUUGUACGUAGAUAAAGGUUUUCAGAGAUCUAAACAUAGUCAAGUGGAGCAGCGUUCUCUUUAUCUGCACUCAGUUUUGACUCAUCGUUCAGGUUCGGCUUCUAUGCUGUCACUUAUAUAUUCAGAGGUCCUAAAAAUGCUUCGCUUGUGGGGUAUGGUGAAUUUUGAUGUAGAGGUUUUCUUCCCUCACGAUUCUCAUAGUUCUCCAAGAGGCUAUCACAAACAGAAAAGCAGGGAGGGUGAUCAAUUACAUAUUAUGACAUCCCAAUCUUUAUUGGUGGAGAUUUUGAAAGACUUAAAAAAUGCAUUUUGGCCUUUUCAACAUGAUCCUGCUAAGAGCCUUUUCUUCAGGGCAGCUCAAGCUGCUAAUUGCGAUACAUCCAACAGUGUUGAAGAAAGUGCAUUAAAGAUUGCAUCAGCAAAGGCUGCUCAGCAUAGGCUACUGCGAGGUGUUUGGACUAGUGUUCAGUUUGGGGAUAUGCGACGUGCACUUGCUGGUAUGAGGCUUCUUUGGCUUUCAUCUUAAAGUGCUUUCUAAACUGGUCUUGGUUCUUAGGUCAAGAGGAUAGGUGACAUAUCAAAUACUACAAAGUUAAUGGAGUUCAAAGCACAAUGGUUGUUAAAACAAAUUCUUUAGGGACCUCUAAAGAACUUGAGUGGGAAUCUGAGAGUUCUCAGUUAGAAGGUUUAGAGCUCUAUGAUAAUUGAGCAGCAUGUGAACGUCUUAUCCUUCUUGAAACUGACCCAAUAGAGCUCAGAGACUAUGGAGUUCUCCUUUACCACUGUGGGUUUUAUGAGAUGGCACU